CGGGAGGCAGCAGUAGGGAAUCUUCCGCAAUGGGCGAAAGCCUGACGGAGCAACGCCGCGUGAGUGAUGAAGGUCUUCGGAUCGUAAAACUCUGUUAUUAGGGAAGAACAAAUGUGUAAGUAGCUAUGCACGUCUUGACGGUACCUAAUCAGAAAGCCACGGCUAACUACGUGCCAGCAGCCGCGGUAAUACGUAGGUGGCAAGCGUUAUCCGGAAUUAUUGGGCGUAAAGCGCGCGUAGGCGGUUUUUUAAGUCUGAUGUGAAAGCCCACGGCUCAACCGUGGAGGGUCAUUGGAAACUGGAAAACUUGAGUGCAGAAGAGGAAAGUGGAAUUCCAUGUGUAGCGGUGAAAUGCGCAGAGAUAUGGAGGAACACCAGUGGCGAAGGCGACUUUCUGGUCUGUAACUGACGCUGAUGUGCGAAAGCGUGGGGAUCAAACAGGAUUAGAUACCCUGGUAGUCCACGCCGUAAACGAUGAGUGCUAAGUGUUAGGGGGUUUCCGCCCCUUAGUGCUGCAGCUAACGCAUUAAGCACUCCGCCUGGGGAG
rnacentral:rRNA from 1 species